rnacentral:rRNA from 1 species
GAUGAACGCUGGCGGCGUGCUUAACACAUGCAAGUCGAACGGAAAGGCUCCUGCUUGCAGGGGUACUCGAGUGGCGAACGGGUGGGUAACACGUGGGUGAUCUGCCCUGCACUUCGGGAUAAGCCUGGGAAACUGGGUCUAAUACCGGAUAGGACGAUGGUUUGGAUGCCAUUGUGGAAAGUUUUUUCGGUGUGGGAUGAGCUCGCGGCCUAUCAGCUUGUUGGUGGGGUAAUGGCCUACCAAGGCGUCGACGGGUAGCCGGCCUGAGAGGGUGUACGGCCACAUUGGGACUGAGAUACGGCCCAGACUCCUACGGGAGGCAGCAGUGGGGAAUAUUGCACAAUGGGCGCAAGCCUGAUGCAGCGACGCCGCGUGGGGGAUGACGGCCUUCGGGUUGUAAACUCCUUUCGCUAGGGACGAAGCGCAAGUGACGGUACCUGGAGAAGAAGCACCGGCUAACUACG